GACGAACGCUGGCGGCGUGCUUAACACAUGCAAGUCGAACGGAAAGACCCGGCGUUUGCGGGGUGCUCGAGUGGCGAACGGGUGAGUAACACGUGAGUAACCUGCCCUUGACAUUGGGAUAACUUCAGGAAACUGGGGCUAAUACAGGAUAGGAGCUACUGCUGCAUGGUGGGGGUUGGAAAGUUUCGGCUGUUGGGGAUGGACUAGAGGCUUAUCAGCUUGUUGGUGGGGUAGGGGCUUACCAAGGCUUUGACGGAUAGCCCGCCUGGGAGGGGGACCGGCCACAUGGGGACUGAGAUACGGCCCAGACUCCUACGGGAGGCAGCAGUGGGGAAUAUUGCACAAUGGCCGGAAGCCUGAUGCAGCAACCCCGCGUGCGGGAUGACGGCCUUCUGGUUGUAAACCGCUUUCGCCUGUGACGAAGCGUGAGUGACGGUAAUUAGUAAAGAAGCACCGGCUAACUACGUG
rnacentral:rRNA from 1 species